rnacentral:rRNA from 1 species
CAGUCGCCGCGGGAAUACGUAGGUGGCAAGCGUUGUCCGGAAUUAUUGGGCGUAAAGGGCUCGCAGGCGGUUUCUUAAGUCUGAUGUGAAAGCCCCCGGCUCAACCGGGGAGGGUCAUUGGAAACUGGGAAACUUGAGUGCAGAAGAGGAGAGUGGAAUUCCACGUGUAGCGGUGAAAUGCGUAGAGAUGUGGAGGAACACCAGUGGCGAAGGCGACUCUCUGGUCUGUAACUGACGCUGAGGAGCGAAAGCGUGGGGAGCGAACAGGAUUAGAUACCCCGGUAGUCCCUGUCUCUUAUAU